UUGCAAUUGAAUCGAUGACUUAAGAGAUUUGCAAUGUGGGCGCGUCUAUAGAAUACAAUUAAAAAUAGCUGUAAACAUCGAAAGUAGCCAAAAAUAAAACUGUGAAUUAAUUCGAGUUACUUGAGAACAUAGCACACACACUUGUGUGUACACAUAUACACGCUCACUCACACCAGUGCAGUCCACGCGCAACUGUAAAGCAAACAACAAAAAAUUGAAACAACUACAGCUACCCAAGCAGGCAGGCUAUAAAAAUCGACACUCACACACAUACACCAACAGUUGUGUAGUUGCCAUAGUACUAGAGCGUGCUAGGCAGAUAGACAGAGAUAGAGAUAGAGAGAGGGAUCGAGCAAACUAGCGACAUGUGCAUGCGAUAAAAUGCAACGAGCAUAUACGCCUUAGAGGCAGUGCCAGUGUUUUCGACACUCUGGCCCGAGUGAAUGCAAGAGGAUGUGCAGUGUUUUCAACGCACGUGCCGACGCCUCGGUCAAUGAACCGCACGAGAAACAAGAAGAGAGCACAACGAGCAUAGCAGAUGGAAUGAAUCGAUGAGGGAGGGCAACACACAGCAAAUGCAGCGGCAAACGCGUGCAAGAGUGAUGGAGUGCUAGGUCUGCACUCUCUCUUAGUCGAACAGUUUAAUGUUAUUAUUGACGCAGUCUGGACGUCGACACUCCCUCUCCUUCCACUGUGAUCACUGUUUCUGCUGUUCUUCUGUUCCUUGUUGGUGUUGUUAUUGCGCUGGCUGUCGCUGCUGCUUAAUUGACACAUACAUAGCUUUAUUUACAGCACAUCUCAAUAAAGCAAAGAGGCAGAGAAGGAGAGAGAGAGCGUAAAAAUGCCUAUUUACAAUCUGGCGACAUUAGCUCAACGAUUUUUCAAUUUCAACUUCUAUUGUACAACAAUAA